UCUCCGUUGGUGAACCAGCGGAGGGAUCAUUACCGAGUUCCAGCAACUCCCAACCCUUGCGAACCGUACCCCAGUCUGUUCUCGUUGCUUCCGGCAGGCGGGGGGGGCCACCUGGCCCCUCCCCCUGCCGGGGGCGGCGGGCCCUCUGAACCUUUAUACCUCAACCACUGAAACCCGUCUGAGCAAAACAAAAAAUAAUCAAAACUUUCAACAACGGAUCUCUUGGCUCUG
rnacentral:misc_RNA from 1 species